rnacentral:lncRNA from 1 species
ACAAAGCAGACAUACUGCAUAGAAUUCAUGUUCCGAUUUUUGAGUCAUACAAUAUUACAAAAAGCAAAUAUAUUGCUAUGCUUUGUAGAAAAUUUUAACAAUACUACUAAAGAAAAGGUACAUGAACAAUCACAAAGGCCAAGCUGUAAGCACCUUAAACUUAAUUGAACGCGAGUGUUGCCGGAAGAUAAGACUCAAACACGCACACUAAGCACAACAUAAAUUAAAUCCUCCAAAAAUCCGUGUGGACCCCCAAGCAAAAAUUCAAAAAUCCUUGUUUGAACAAAAAUCAAAAAAUAGAAGUCUUGGAUCCAGAUUUUCAAUCCAAUGGCUCCCAUUUUCCAACCUUUAUUCCAAGGGCUCGGACUUUAUACAAAAAUAAAGAGAUAAAAGAAGAAAUCCGCGUGAAUCAGAUUGCAAUGAUGAAAUUUGUUGAGAUUAGCUACGUGAAAGAAGAAGAAGAAGAAGAGAGAAGGGGCGACUAUGGAGGGACCAAUGGGUGAACUCGACGGGUUUGGGGCAAGUUCCGGCGAGUUUGGAGGGUGGGAGACACGACGGAGGCGGAGAGGGGCUGGGGCGGCUGUUUUGGUUUUUAGGGUUAGAGUUUGGGAUUAGGUUUGGGGUGUUUUGUGGAAUGU